UACGUAGGGACCGAGCGUUGUCCGGAUUCAUUGGGCGUAAAGAGCUCGUAGGCGGCUGCUCAAGUCGAAUGUGAAAACUCGAGGCUUAACCUCGAGCCUGCAUUCGAUACUGGGCGGCUAGAGUCUGGUAGGGGGAUCUGGAAUUCCUGGUGUAGCGGUGGAAUGCGCAGAUAUCAGGAGGAACACCGGUGGCGAAGGCGGCUUGCUGGGCCAGUUCUGACGCUGAGGAGCGAAAGCGUGGGGAGCGAACAGG
rnacentral:rRNA from 1 species